rnacentral:piRNA from 1 species
UAGUUCCCGACUCUCCUUGGAAAUUGAU